CCAUCUUCGGGGUGACAUUAGGAGGAGGAGGCUUGCCAGUUUCCUGCUGCACGUUGGAACAAACGAAGAACGAUUAGAACUGAUUGCCGAAGGAAACGAGAAUUUCGCUCGAUCUUUCCGUCCAUCUAUUGGAGCACACGCUUCGCUGUCCUAGUUCGGACCAGACCGAGACUCGCCGAGGCUUGCGCCGUCAAGGCCGUUCAUCCGCGAGUCCUCAGAACGACCAGAGACAACGGUACUUCCACUCCGCGUCGAUCGAACUUGCUUGUCGAUCGCUGAUGCUUGCACUUAGAGUCCACAGGAGUCUCAGAAUCUUCAAAAUUGCCGUCAGAAAUUUCCUCGCCACACUAAACCUUUCUUAAUUAAAGAUUUAGUAUUCUUCUUGAAA